AGUAUCAUUAAGUGAAUACAUAGCUUAAUGAGGGGAACUCAGGGAACUGAAACAUCUAAGUACCUGAAGGAAGAGAAAGAAAUUCGAUUCCGUAAGUAGCGGCGAGCGAACGCGGAUUAGCCCAAACCAAUAAAGUUUUCUUUAUUGGGGUUGAGGACAUACCACAUAUAAGAGGUCAUUAUAGACGAAGAAGUUUGGAAAAACUCAUCAUAGAAGGUAAUAAUCCUGUAGUCAAAAUAAUAAUUCUUUAGGUAUGAUCCAGAGUACCACGGGACACGUGAAACCCUGUGGGAAGCAGGAGGGACCACCCUCCAAGGCUAAAUACUACCUAGUGACCGAUAGCGUAUAGUACCGUGAGGGAAAGGUGAAAAGAACCCCG
rnacentral:rRNA from 1 species